rnacentral:rRNA from 1 species
UGGGGAAUAUUGCACAAUGGGCGCAAGCCUGAUGCAGCCAUGCCGCGUGUAUGAAGAAGGCCUUCGGGUUGUAAAGUACUUUCAGCGGGGAGGAAGGGAGUAAAGUUAAUACCUUUGCUCAUUGACGUUACCCGCAGAAGAAGCACCGGCUAACUCCGUGCCAGCAGCCGCGGUAAUACGGAGGGUGCAAGCGUUAAUCGGAAUUACUGGGCGUAAAGCGCACGCAGGCGGUUUGUUAAGUCAGAUGUGAAAUCCCCGGGCUCAACCUGGGAGCUGCAUCUGAUACUGGCAAGCUUGAGUCUCGUAGAGGGGGGUAGAAUUCCAGGUGUAGCGGUGAAAUGCGUAGAGAUCUGGAGGAAUACCGGUGGCGAAGGCGGCCCCCUGGACGAAGACUGACGCUCAGGUGCGAAAGCGUGGGGAGCAAACAGG